rnacentral:lncRNA from 1 species
GUGAAGCGGGGCGCACGGAUCUCGCGAGGAGCGCAGUCGCCCGCGCUGCAGUCGGGACCGGCUUCAGCUUUAGAGAAGGAACGAGGCGCCAGCACUGGAGCGACAUCAUGCUGCGAGGCUACAGAUGAGGGGAGGCGGGCUCCACACUGAACCCCUCAGCCCGAGGCUUGGCCCAGCGGGAGCGCAGGGUGCUGGCCGGCUUCCCUGGGGCGGGGCAGCGCAGUGACCUUCACCGCACUCACGGAUCGCGGGGAGCAGCUCAGAGACAGCCGCCUCCAUCUGCCGUGAGGGCUCUGCCGUCCCCAUUUCCCAGAGGAAGAGACUGAGACACCGGGUCAAACCACUGAGCCACGGCCGCAGAGCCCACAUCCGUCUCCAGAUGCCAGCACAGUGAUAAAUCCCCGUGUUAUAUAAGCCAGCUGUUCUCUGCGUUCGAGUUUCUUGAUGCUCAUGAAAUGACCGCAAGCUCACAGCCGGGCUGAGCUCAGGAACAAGUCUGGAUUCAAAGUUGUCGGCCUCCAGGGCGCUUCCUGAAGGUUUGGUUCAAGAACUACAGAGCAAAGGCCAGGAGAGCAAAAGACAGGGUUUCCUAGUUACCUGGGCUGGACUCAAACCUGUGAUCCUCCUGUCUCAGCCUCCACAUCCAGACGACACUUGGCAAUCUGACCUGAGGACAUUAAAAGGCCGAGGGACCAGCCGGAGAUCCAGGUGCCCCUGAGCUCCCUUCCCUGCCGCUCUCCUCCCAGUGCAGGGGAAACUGCAGGUUCUCUUUCUGCCCAAAUGCAGGAGGCCCCAGAGGAGAGGCAGUGGAGACCCUGCAUCUCUGGCUGGCAUCAGCCCAGUGCCUUCAGGGGAAGAAAGGCAGCAAGCCACGGUCCUCCCUUGGGCUCCACAGGAGUCACCACUGCCUGCUCUGAGCCAGGCUGGCUUUGUUCUCCAACCCUGCUGGGUUCCCCCCAGCCCACUGCUCCCCUGAAAGUUGGCGUUCUCCUAAGGAAAGGGUCUGUACAUUUCCUGUCUUGCAAGUAAAUAAUUUGUACAUCUUUUCUCCAGAAAGAAAGAGAGGAAGCAGAACGAGG